rnacentral:rRNA from 1 species
GGCGAACGGGUGAGUAACACGUGAGUUACCUGCCCUUGACUCUGGGAUAAGCCUGGGAAACUGGGUCUAAUACCGGAUAUGACCUUCCAUCGCAUGGUGGUUGGUGGAAAGCUUUUGUGGUUUUGGAUGGACUCGCGGCCUAUCAGCUUGUUGGUGAGGUAAUGGCUUACCAAGGCGACGACGGGUAGCCGGCCUGAGAGGGUGACCGGCCACACUGGGACUGAGACACGGCCCAGACUCCUACGGGAGGCAGCAGUGGGGAAUAUUGCACAAUGGGCGCAAGCCUGAUGCAGCGACGCCGCGUGAGGGAUGACGGCCUUCGGGUUGUAAACCUCUUUCAGUAGGGAAGAAGCGAAAGUGACGGUACCUGCAGAAGAAGCGCCGGCUAACUACGUGCCAGCAGCCGCGGUAAUACGUAGGGCGCAAGCGUUAUCCGGAAUUAUUGGGCGUAAAGAGCUCGUAGGCGGUUUGUCGCGUCUGCCGUGAAAGUCCGGGGCUCAACUCCGGAUCUGCGGUGGGUACGGGCAGACUAGAGUGAUGUAGGGGAGACUGGAAUUCCUGGUGUAGCGGUGAAAUGCGCAGAUAUCAGGAGGAACACCGAUGGCGAAGGCAGGUCUCUGGGCAUUAACUGACGCUGAGGAGCGAAAGCAUGGGGAGCGAACAGGAUUAG